rnacentral:lncRNA from 1 species
CUGAGGGCUGACGUGAACCAGGCUGCAGCUGAGUGGAAACGGGACUGGUGACGCACGCGUCUCCCACACAGGACAGCAGCCAAGUGGACUGUGGCUUAAAGGAAAAAUACCUGGGAAUCAUGUAUCCAACAGGCUCCAUCCCCCUUUCUCUAGGUGCCUGUUACCAACUUGGAAGCCUCCAUCCUGCAAGAUGAAGCAACCAAAGAGGCAGAGUGUUUUACUCAAGUCACAGAGCCGGUGAAGUUAAAGCCUACACUAGACUAAAGCCUGGAGUUUUAGAACACUUCUCCUAAGCUCACUCACAGCCCACCUGUUCCAAGUGCUGCCUGAGUGGCACCAUGGUGACUUCAGGAGCCUGAAACCAACAAGGGCACAGCUUUCCCCAGUGGGGAGGGAUUGCUGCUACCCCACAUCCUGCUUCCUGUCUCUAUGGUUAAUAGCAGGAAUCAACAGGAGGAACAGGUGAAGGCUGCAGCCACAGCUCCCUCUUCUGUCUCUGGGCCUGGGAAAGGACAGAAAAUCCAGCAGCACAGCAUGGCCGCCCUCCAUUUCCCUACAGCCAGCUGGAGGACCUGCAGGCGAGCCAUUCCAUUCCAAAGCAGAAGAAUGGCUUGGCCAGAGGUCACCACACACUUGAGUACUGCCACAGCCUGUCUCAGCUCACUUGAUUGAGACUCCAUGUUCUAAAAAGGGUGGGCGCUCUGCACAAUUACAUUUUGAAGAUCCCAGCUUGCUUAGCACAAGUGGAAAAUUACCUUAUCGUCUCCUCUGCGGUGCCUUUGGAUCCUGAUUUCAUCAUUCAUA